GACACUAAUCUCGCUGAGUCCCCACAGGCCUGCAUGGCAGUUCUGACUAUGCUACUUCGCAAAAGAGGGCACCAUGGCUCGAAAGCCCACUGAGCUUGUCCCAGGUCACAUAGCUAAGUAGAAACCAAACUGAAGUUUGACUGCAGUCACACCCUUCCGGAUUCCUGGAGCACCCACGACCUAGACUGGGUGUUUCCGGCUUCCUCAGGAAAGGGAGCUGCAAUAGGUAAAUAAAGGCUUGGGAGUUGCACAGAGGAAGGGGGACAGGGAAUGUGCCUCCUUACUGUCCUCAGCUGGCUCAAGAUUCUCCUAUCUCUGCUUUUCACUAGGAAUGGUGACAUCAAGCUUAGGACCCUCUCUGCAAAUCCUCUUGAUCCAAGAUCUCUGAGGUCUGUCUAAAUCUCCUGAAGGCCCUGGGUGCUAGCCUCAAGAAGAACAUGCUUGGCCUCAAGAAGAUGGGAAGAGUCAUCCACCCCUAGGGGAAGUCUGGCUUUGUGGUUAGAAAAGGAAUCAGCAAGUCAAUACAGCCAAGAAACAUCCAGUCCCAGCAAGGACGUAGCAGCGCCAGUCCCAACCCCUGAAGAGCUUCAGCCGCCCUUGGCACAUACCUCUAAGGCGUGGUAGUGAGGUGGUACCCAGAUGAGACCCCCUCCUCCAGGGGGAGGAUUUCCAUAGUUCCAAAUAAAUCUCUCAUCCUAUACAGAUGUCUGAAUCAGAAUGACUGGACAAAUGUGGACCACAGAGGUUUGAAGCCUUAGACAGAUACUGAUGGAGAGAAAACCUUUAAAUCAAUUCAGUCCUUGGCCAAAAAUGAAUAUAUAUGCCAGAGUCUGGAAGACCCUAUACAUGGUAGAUAGUUGAAAUUAUUUUAAGACUAACAAAGGAAGAAAUUAAUUAAAAAACCAAUGCUGUUCACCACUGAGGAAUGGAGGUGAAUCUGGAUCUAAGUCUUAUUCGGUGGAGGUCUCUGGUGGUAGGAGAAGAACUGUGGAGUCAUUUUGAUCUGGACAGAACCAAGAACAAUGCCUUGGACAGAAACACAAAGGUGUGUUUAUCAAACCUGUGGACUACACUAAGCCAGCAGGAAGAUCUAACACGUUGGAUGUUAAAUACAACCCUGAAAGGUCAGCAAAAUUGGCCUGAGCUGGGAAGGAGUUUAAAAGAACAAUUUUUAAAUUCCUAUACUUAGGCUCAAAAGCAAAAGCAAAACAACUGGCCAAGUACAAAACAGAUGACUGUAAACACUGGACACAGACUCCCAGCCCCACGGGGUUAAGGCAGGUCCCAUGUGAGCAGCACAUCAGAUCCCUGAUGUUGUCUUUGUCCCACACAUCUUAGUUGGCAGCCAGGCAGUUGUAUGGUUAUAUGAUUACCAUCUGUCUCCCCCACCAGAGCCCAAGCUACACCAGGGCACAGGUCCUAUGUGUUUCAUUCACUGCUGG